AUUGAACGCUGGCGGCAGGCUUAACACAUGCAAGUCGAGCGAGCGGCGGACGGGUGAGUAAUGUCUGGGAAACUGCCUGAUGGAGGGGGAUAACUACUGGAAACGGUCGCUAAUACCGCAUACCAACAGCUGUCCCAAGAUGGGAUUAGCUAGUAGGUGGGGUAAUGGCUCACCUAGGCGACGAGCCCUAGCUGGUCUGAGAGGAUGACCAGCCACACUGGAACUGAGACACGGGCCAGACUCCUACGGGAGGCAGCAGUGGGGAAUAUUGCACAAUGGGCGCAAGCCGGAUGCAGCCAUGCCGCGUGUGUGAAGAAGGCCUUCGGGUUGUAAAGCACUUUCAGCGAGGAGGCGUUACUCGCAGAAGAAGCACCGGCUAACUCCGUGCCAGCAGCCGCGGUAAUUC
rnacentral:rRNA from 1 species